GUCUACGGCCAUACCACCCUGAACGCGCCGAUCUCGUCUGAUCUCGGAAGCUAAGCAGGGUCGGGCUUGGUUAGUACUUGGAUGGGAGACCGCCUGGGAAUACCGGUUAUAAAAA
ensembl:rRNA 5S_rRNA 5S ribosomal RNA